AACACAUUUGUUUUGAUUACUCCGAAUUGUAAGUGAUUGUCAGUCUUUUAGUAUAUAUUCAAGAGCAUUGAUAGUCUCCCUUUAAGAUGUUCAUCUGGCACAGACUGCAAUUGGCUAUCCAUACAAUAUGUACAUUUUAUCCAGGGUUCACAUGUUCUCUUGAAGCAUUAUAACAGUUUUGGUGUUUCUGUCUGGUUUUUCUCAUACUGCAUCAAACCAAUGUAUGUGCACUCACGUUUUCUGGAGGAUCCUCAAAAUGAGUUAUAUAACCAUAAAGUACUUUUUUAAACUUCUCACCAAGCAUAGCCUGAUAACGAGUUAUACUGGUAUCGGAUUCCUGGUUACAAUUUUGGUUUAUGGCUCCUGUUUUCUAGUUCCCCUUGGCUCAUCUAGUUUACGUGUGUAUGCGGUCUGCAUUUCUUCAAGGGACAUUAUACUCAACAAAAGUUUAAACUUUAGCUUAAUUAAAAGUCGUUUUGGUGUUUAGAUUGUGUCCUUACAGUCUGUUUACACCUGACUGUUUAUUUCUUUGCCAUUUAGGAGUUAAAUCACUUUGUUUAUGCAGCCCUAGUCACACCUCUCUGCUUGUGACUUGCAAAGCCUUCCUAACACUUCCUGUAAAGAGUCAUCUAAUGUUCAUACUUCCUUUAUUACAAAUUCUUCUUAAUUUAGAAUUUAUCUCCUUCUCUGUGAAUAGCUUGCUAGACCCUGCAGGAACCUCCUGUGUGUGAUUAAAGUUAAAUUUACAGAGCAGGAGAUAAAAACUUUUAAAGUAAGUUACUUUUUCAUGCAGGCUGUGUCAGUCACAGCCAGGGGAGGUGUGGCUAGGGCUGCAUAAACAGAAACAAAAGCAAUUUAAUGAUCUAUAC